rnacentral:lncRNA from 10 species
AAUGCUAGUUAUAAUAAACUUCCUGGCGGACCUCUCUGUCCUUUCUCUCUUUUUCUUUUGUCUUUCUAAGCUUUUAAAAUACAGAAAAGUAGAGAGAAUAACAAACACCCAUAUAUACCACUCAGAAAGAUCAAUUGUAAACAUUUUGUCAUUUUGGGCUCAGAUUUUUUUAUAUAAAAGAACAUUUCAGAGAUGAAGUUAAAAAGUCCCCCUUUUUUUCCCUACUCACCAAAGGCAAGAACCUUCAUUUUUAUAUUUCUAUUACCCAUCUAUGUAUUCUUAAAUAAUAUCAUUGUUUUGUUGGCAGUUUUUGUUUUAUUUUUUCUUUUUUCAACAAGCCUUUUGCACUCCUAUGUCAGCAGUUUUUAAAUGGGCAUAAAUGGUCUGGAAAGAUACUUCUCUCAUUCAGCAUUUUAAUUUUGAGAUCUGUCCAUAAUAAUACAUGUGGAACCUCAUUUGUUCAUUUAAAUGCUGCAUUUUAUUCCAUCACACAACAAUACUGCAAUUUAUUUAUCCAUUCCCUUACUAAUAGACAUUUGGAGGGUUUUUUUUUUAAUUUUUGCUACUGAAAGUCACCUUUAUUUAUAUUUUACAGAAUUAUCUCUGCUGUGCUGGGACCUUUAUUUUUUCACAUUGUUUUGAGGAUCAGUUUGAUAAGUUUCAUUGGAAAAAAAAAAUCUAGGGAAUUUUUACUAGACUUGCAUUGAUUUUAUAGUGUAAUUUGGGGAGAAUUAAUAUCUUUUGAAUUGUGAUAUUUGACUCAGGAACAUACUUUCUCUUGUUCAGUCAAGUCUUUUAAAACAUUCUUCAGCUAACUUUCUCUAUGAAUGUCUUGGCACAUCUUUCAUUAGAUUUCUAUUACCUUACUGUUUUAUUGUAUUGUGAAUGGUGUUUUUUCCCCUCAUUUCUAUCAUUUGUUUUUGUUGCAAAAGAAAGCUAAAUAUUUUAUAUGUUGACCUUGUAUCUAGCAAUCUUGAUGAAUUCUCUUAUUAAUUCUCAUAUUUAUGUAUAGAUUUGCUUCAGUUUUCUAUGUAAACUAUCAUAUCUCCUGCAGAUCAAAUUUUGCAUUUUUCUUUUCAAUGCUUAUAUCUCAUUCCCUUUUUCUUAUUGUAUUCACUAGGACUUCUAGCACAUGGGAGUAGAAGUGAUAGUGGGCAUAUUUGCCUAAUUCUUAUAUUUAAUGCAAAUACUUCUAGAGAUUAUUCCUAGAGAGUGUUCCUAGGUAAUGUUUUUCAAGGAUAGGGAGUAGGGAGGGCCUGUGGCUCUGGUUGCUAGUAAGCUACUUUGGAGGUUGAUAUUUUUGGGGUGGUUGGUUGGUUGGGUUUGGUUUGUUUGGCACUUUG